rnacentral:rRNA from 1 species
AGUGAACGCUGGCGGUAGGCCUAACACAUGCAAGUCGAACGGCAGCACAGUAAGAGCUUGCUCUUACGGGUGGCGAGUGGCGGACGGGUGAGGAAUACAUCGGAAUCUACUUUUUCGUGGGGGAUAACGUAGGGAAACUUACGCUAAUACCGCAUACGACCUACGGGUGAAAGCAGGGGAUAUUCGGACCUUGCGCGAUUGAAUGAGCCGAUGUCGGAUUAGCUAGUUGGCGGGGUAAAGGCCCACCAAGGCGACGAUCCGUAGCUGGUCUGAGAGGAUGAGCAGCCACACUGGAACUGAGACACGGUCCAGACUCCUACGGGAGGCAGCAGUGGGGAAUAUUGGACAAUGGGCGCAAGCCUGAUCCAGCCAUACCGCGUGGGUGAAGAAGGCCUUCGGGUUGUAAAGCCCUUUUGUUGGGAAAGAAAAGCAGCAGGUUAAUACCCCGCUGUUCUGACGGUACCCAAAGAAUAAGCACCGGCUAACUUCGUG